CCGCCUGUACCCGAAGUCGCCCUCAAAAGGUGCCGAAGGUAUGGAGUGGUGAUUGGGAGUG
rnacentral:rRNA from 1 species